UACGGGGGGGGCAAGCGUUGUUCGGAAUUACUGGGCGUAAAGGGCUCGUAGGCGGCCAACUAAGUCAGACGUGAAAUCCCUCGGCUUAACCGGGGAACUGCGUCUGAUACUGGAUGGCUUGAGUUUGGGAGAGGGAUGCGGAAUUCCAGGUGUAGCGGUGAAAUGCGUAGAUAUCUGGAGGAACACCGGUGGCGAAGGCGGAAUCCUGGGCCAACACUGGCGCUGAGUGAGCGAAAGCCAGGGGAGCAAACGGG
rnacentral:rRNA from 1 species